rnacentral:rRNA from 1 species
CCUACGGGAGGCAGCAGUGGGGAAUAUUGCACAAUGGGGGAAACCCUGAUGCAGCGACGCCGCGUGAGUGAAGAAGUAAUUCGUUAUGUAAAGCUCUAUCAGCAGGGAAGAAAAUGACGGUACUUGAGUAAGAAGCCCCGGCUAACUACGUGCCAGCAGCCGCGGUAAUACGUAGGGGGCAAGCGUUAUCCGGCUUUACUGGGUGUAAAGGGAGCGUAGACGGCAGUGCAAGUCUGGAGUGAAAGGCGGGGGCUCAACCCCCGGACUGCUCUGGAAACUGUACGGCUGGAGUGCAGGAGAGGUAAGUGGAAUUCCUAGUGUAGCGGUGAAAUGCGUAGAUAUUAGGAGGAACACCAGUGGCGAAGGUGGCUUACUGGACUGUAACUGACGUUGAGGCUCGAAAGCGUGGGGAGCAAACAGGAUUAGAUACCCCGGUAGUC